rnacentral:misc_RNA from 1 species
GUGAAUCAUCGAAUUUUUGAACGCAAAUUGCGCUCUCUUCGGAGCUUAUGCCUGUUUGAGGGUCAGCCUAAAAAAAAUCGCCAUAGUCGCUGUUUUCGCGGUGACAUUCGUCGGCAAUUGGGUCAUCUUAAACGUUUGGGUUUUACGCGGCUUAACAUUUUCUUUACGGAUUCCACGAACGUUUCUAAGCUUUACUUCUUACACACGUUUACGGUA